rnacentral:rRNA from 1 species
CCUACGGGAGGCAGCAGUGAGGAAUAUUGGUCAAUGGACGAGAGUCUGAACCAGCCAAGUAGCGUGAAGGAUGACUGCCCUAUGGGGUGUAAACUUCUUUUAUAUGGGAAUAAAAUGUUCCACGUGUGGGAUUCUGUAUGUACCAUAUGAAUAAGGAUCGGCUAACUCCGUGCCAGCAGCCGCGGUAAUACGGAGGAUCCGAGCGUUAUCCGGAUUUAUUGGGUUUAAGGGGAGCGUAGGUGGAUGGUUAAGUCAGUUGUGAAAGUUUGCGGCUCAACCGUAAAAUUGCAGUUGAAACUGGCAGUCUUGAGUACAGUAGAGGUGGGCGGAAUUCGUGGUGUAGCGGUGAAAUGCUUAGAUAUCACGAAGAACUCCGAUUGCGAAGGCAGCUCACUGGACUGCAACUGACACUGAGGCUCGAAAGUGUGGGUAUCAAACAGGAUUAGAUACCCGGGUAGUC